GCGAGUCUCUGUUGUCUGCACUGGUCAGGGCUGAUCCCAAAGGGCAAUCAUUUGCCAUGGUUUGUCCAAUGCCCAGACCAUAGGCUAUCCGGUCCCAUUCAGUCACUGCUUAGAUGAAAGUGCUUCCGUUCUUGAAAAGGAAAAAGCCUGUUUUGCAGAAGGCAACAAGCCAUAGUGGAGACAGAAUGGGGUGUGGAAUCAUAUGGCCCUGGGUUCAAAUUCCAGUUUCACCAUUAACAAUCUGUGAUCUGGUGACUUCUGUGUGUGCACAGAGGGUGAUUCUUCUUCUUCUUCUUCUUUUUUUUUUUAAAGAUUUUAUUUAUUUGACAGAGAGAGAUCACAAGUAGGCAGAGAGGCAGGCAGAGAGAGAGAGAGAGGAGGAAGAAGGCUCCCUGCUGAGCAGAGAGCCCGAUGUGGGACUCGAUCCCAGGACCCUGAGAUCAUGACCUGAGCUGAAAGCAGAGGCUUAACCCACUGAGCCACCCAGGUGCCCCCAGAGGGUGGUUCUGAGGACAGAGUAGGACAGAUGCCGGACUCACAGUCAGUCUUCCUAAGCUUUCUGCCGGCACGGGGAGAGCGGGAGCCCUUCGAGGUCUCUCCAGGUUCACUUCCUAUUCCUCCUCCCUAUCCCAGCGCCAGUCCAGCCUCCAGCCAUGCCCUCCCCACCAAGGGUGAGGGUGGUGAUGCUCCACGCCUCUUCAUCUUGGGUCUUGCUGCCACCAGCUCUCCUUGUGGCUCCUUUACUCCACUCAGGUUUCUCCCUCCCAGAACAUCACCUCUGCAAGGUCUUCCCAGAUUCCGUGGUUGCAAGCAGCCCGUCCAGCCAUCUCCAGCCCUUCCCUACUCUCCUGUCCUCGAGAGCUCACCGCCCCCAACUAGAUGUUGUCUCCUCCCUGAGAUCACUAGCUUCACGGGGGCAGGCAUUUGGUUUGCCUGUUUUUUCACUCCCUUCCCAGGGUCUGUAAUAGUUCCAGGCACAUACCUGAUAGCCAAUAAGUAUUUGUUAAGUGAUCCUCCACCAGAACUGUCCGGAGGGCGGGCUCUGAGUGCAGGUGGGGAAAGGUGAGGGGCAUGGGAUCUCCGUGGCCCACAGGGCAGGUCCAGGCAAGUCAGCCCCAUGCAUAAUGUCAGCCUUCCCUUGCUCCUUCCUCUGGGGCCCCAAGGCAGGUUCCGACUUGCACAGCCAUGUGGGUGACCUGGCGGGGUAUGCUGAAUGGCCGUGAGAGAACUCUAACCCUCCCAGCUCAGGGGCCCAGAACCCUGCACUCAGAGGCCCCUUCUCCCCAGACCCCGUGGCUUGAUCCUGAAGUGAGAAUACAAAACCUGACCUGGGAUUCUGGGGUGCAGCUUCUUCCCCCCUCCCCACAACCCUGGAGAGGGGUGUGGGGGCUGCUGUGGGUGAGAGAGGAGGGGCACUGGAAGCCUCCUGUAAGCCCACAGCUUCCCAUAGCACCCUUUCCACCCAGCGGGAAUUUAUGCAAAACGUUAUUGUAAUCAGGUGUCAGGUGGUAUUGUAGAAAGUACCUCCGACCCUGCCUUUACAGACAAUGGCACAGGGGACUUGGGGGCAGCUUCGCUUUGGGUGGGGCUGAGUUGGCUGCUAAUCGUGGGACGUGGGCCAGGGAACCCGGGUUCUGCAGAUUGCUAAGCUGCUGGCUUCUUUAGAGGAAAUGGGUAGAUGCCUGGCUGGGGGUUCUGGGCUAGAAACAUGUUCUCAUCAGAGAUGAGCUCCUCAUCACAGUGUGAGCUCCAGAGAUAGCAGGGAACAGAUGUGCCCUGGGCUGGUGGAGGGGCUCCUGGGCUUGGGGGCAGGAGAACUGAGUGCGAGGCCCUCUCUUUCUAGGCCGGCUUCUUUCCUGCUCUGAGCCUCAGUGUCUUGUUCUGAGAAGGAAGGGCUGCACUCCAACCGUGAGGUCAUUUCUCAGUGGCUUAGGGAGUCACUGUCCCACGAGAAGGGCAAUCCCACAAGGCCGCACCAAGCACAGCUAGCUUCCUUGUCCCCUUCAUUAUUUGCUUGGAGAGAAGUGGCCUGAUUCUCCCGCCAUCUGGCUUCUAGUAUAUUCUGAGGAGUCACAGCACACUCCCUUGGUUCACACAGGCCCUGAGGACCAUCAGGGACCGGAGGUGGAUCAGCGCAGUUAGGGACAGAGGGGACAGGAGGAGAAGAGCCUAGAGGCUGGAGGGAUCUCUUCUGUGGGUCCCCGGGGAGGUGGGCAAAAGAGAGAUACCAGGCUUCCUGUUCCCCAGAGCAGGCAUCUUCUCUAUGGAUGUGCUGUAAUGUGGCUCAUUCCACAAACUUCUCAUCCCAUCCAUCCUGCAUGAGUGCCAUGAUGUUGGAAACAGCUUGGCCUGAAGGGACACCCCCCCCCGCUGCCAAGAAAAGAUCUUAUCUGUGCCCCUGUGGUAGUUUCAAAACAUGGCCUCCAAAUUUUUUGAUCCAACUUCCCUUUGACAGGGGGGAUGUCUCCCCCUCCCUUAAAUCUGGCCUUGCGACUGUCUGACAAAUGAACAGAGUACAUGAGGUGCUGCGCCAAUAUCUGGGUCGCGGCCUUCAGACGCUGGCAGCUUCCACUGCCUGUCUCUUGGGAUGCUUGCUCUUGGAACCCAGACCAUGCCGCGAAGAAGCCAAAGUCGCCUGUGGGGGGAAGGAACCCAUGUGGAGAGGGACCGAUGCUCCCAGGCCUCGGCCAUGGCCGAGCACCCGGUGCCAACAUGCCAGCCGUGUGAGGGAACCAUCCUGGGGCUCCCGGUCCAGAGGCCCGGCUGACAGCACGUGGACCGGAGGCACGCUGUCCCCAGCACGCCCUGCCCGGCUGGCAGGUGCGUCAUCACAACAGACACGUGGGGCUCUUGGAAGCCACUAAGUCACCAGCUGUCUGUUACUGGACUAGAGAGGACCGGCCAAGCAGGUGCUGGGGACCAAGAACCCUCGCGUCCUUCCACGCCUGUAAGGAUCACACCCUAUCCUUUCACUCCUAAGGAAAUGGAGGCCCCAAAAGAUGGAAGCCACACCGUUCAUAAAUGGCCCGAAGAUCCAAACCGCAAAAAAGAUGAAGGAACCUUGUUGAUGAAGUCCUUUACCCUGGGAAGAAGAAGAUAAAAAAAGAGAGAAAAGAAGAAAAGGAAGAAAAGAACAGAGGGAGAGUGAAGGAACAAUCCUU